UACGUAGGGGGCAAGCGUUGUCCGGAUUUAUUGGGCGUAAAGAGCGUGUAGGCGGCCGUGUAGGUCCGUUGUGAAAACUCGAGGCUCAACCUCGAGACGUCGAUGGAAACCACACGGCUAGAGUCCGGAAGAGGAGAGUGGAAUUCCUGGUGUAGCGGUGAAAUGCGCAGAUAUCAGGAAGAACACCUAUGGCGAAGGCAGCUCUCUGGGACGGUACUGACGCUGAGACGCGAAAGCGUGGGGAGCAAACAGG
rnacentral:rRNA from 1 species